GAUGAACGCUGGCGGCGUGCUUAACACAUGCAAGUCGAACGAAGCUGCUUAACUGAUCUUCUUCGGAAUUGACGUUUUGUAGACUGAGUGGCGGACGGGUGAGUAACGCGUGGGUAACCUGCCCUGUACAGGGGGAUAACAGUCAGAAAUGACUGCUAAUACCGCAUAAGACCACAGCACCGCAUGGUGCAGGGGUAAAAACUCCGGUGGUACAGGAUGGACCCGCGUCUGAUUAGCUGGUUGGUGAGGUAACGGCUCACCAAGGCGACGAUCAGUAGCCGGCUUGAGAGGGUGAACGGCCACAUUGGGACUGAGACACGGCCCAAACUCCUACGGGAGGCAGCAGUGGGGAAUAUUGCACAAUGGGGGAAACCCUGAUGCAGCGACGCCGCGUGAGUGAAGAAGUAUCUCGGUAUGUAAAGCUCUAUCAGCAGGGAAGAAAAUGACGGUACCUGACUAAGAAGCCCCGGCUAACUACGUGCCAGCAGCCGCGGUAAUACGUAGGGGGCAAGCGUUAUCCGGAAUUACUGGGUGUAAAGGGUGCGUAGGUGGUAUGGCAAGUCAGAAGUGAAAACCCAGGGCUUAACUCUGGGACUGCUUUUGAAACUGUCAGACUGGAGUGCAGGAGAGGUAAGCGGAAUUCCUAGUGUAGCGGUGAAAUGCGUAGAUAUUAGGAGGAACAUCAGUGGCGAAGGCGGCUUACUGGACUGAAACUGACACUGAGGCACGAAAGCGUGGGGAGCAAACAGGAUUAGAUACCCUGGUAGUCCACGCCGUAAACG
rnacentral:rRNA from 1 species